CUCAAUCAAAAGUAAACCUGCAAGCAAAUGAAAAAAUCCACAAGAGAGAAAAAUUUAAAGCAGCAUUUGUGUCAGAAAACAUUGACAUUCAUAGUCUUGUUUCUCAGGAGUAACUGCAUUACAACAGUAGUAUUGUAUGAGAGUCAGAGGAUUGAGGGAGACUUCUACUGCAAAUGGAAAUCAUUGGCUUCUUUGUUUAUACCUUACAACCAUCUAUGUUCCAAUCUCUCUAUGUAUCUCAUAAUGUGUAAACACAACAAUUCACUUAUUCUUCCUAAGUACUUAACACGGUGGCUCAGUCCUUCAAGAUGAUAUUCAACUGGUUUAGGGUUUUUUAACAAGUAACCUAAUUUUGUAACAUUAGAACACUUUAGCAACAUAUAAAGACUUUCCAAAGUAUCCUAUCCUCAUCUAUAAUUCACAGCUUGUCUUGCCUAAUGAAAAAUUUAGAUUAAUAUGGAAAUAUUGCAAAGGAAAAAACCCACAAAGCAACUUCCUAGUUAUGAGAGGAAUCUCACAGAAACUCUAAAAAUCUUGAUGGUAUUGAUUCAUUAUUAAAUACAUUUAAAAUUAUCUAGCCAAUAUUAAUUCAUGGUCUCAAGAAACAAAUUUCACAGAAAAAUCCAAGGAAAAUACCUGCACUGCACAGCAAAAAAUAUAAAAGCCUUGUCUUGUUUUCUGUGUAGACUAGAGGUUUCCUGGAGCUGCUGCAAUAGAGUACAGUGAGCUUAAGCUGCCCUUUAGACUGGGCUGUGGGAUUUGGCUGAAAUAUUUGAAUUAAGUAAAUCCUAAAGAUACUCUGGGCAGUACCACAGGUUGACAGAUUAGCUUACAUGACUAGUCUCCGUUCUGUACUUGUGACCAACAGGGAGGAUUUUCCCAUACCUGCUACAAAACUGGCACACAAACUGGCUUCCAUCUCUGAAAAGGCCUCAGAGUGUAACAGCGAGAGCUAUGAAGUCACAGGACGGGCAGAAGUCAGUGUGGAACCUUCAAAUGCAUAUAAGCUUAUUCUGUAUCAUUCAAGUUUAUGAAAAGAAAGACCAAACAACCAAAAAAGCCCCAGUAAUAAAAUCACUGCCUUUACUCCUGAUUUUAUGAAGAAAAACUGACCUGAAGUAGACUUAGAACUUCACUGCUUCCAUGAAGACAGAAAAGAAGUCCCACAAGGAUUUUCUGAGCGCAACCAUGACCAGCGCACUCUGCAGAAAAUACAAAGGAGCCCAAUGUACCCGGAACCCUUCACGCCUGGAAGGUGACACGCAUACAGAGUGGAGAGCGAGCCUACAGAAAAGUUGAUGACUCAGUUUGUAUCUGGCACGCAUACCAAACCACAGAGUUUUCUCCAGUCAUUUCUGUCGCAAGCUUAAUAAAUAGCUCAAAUGAUACAGCUUUCCUAGAAAGAUAGACUGUCCUGUUUUGAGUGAUGAGACACAAAAUUGUUCUUGUACAUUUUUUUUUGCCGAGAAAUUUCACACUAAGGGUGUUUAGCUGCUGUGAACAUGGCAGCUCACUGAACACAACCUUACAUUUUCUUCCCAAGCAAUCUUGUCCCCCUCUGGGACUGGUGUUGUCACAUCCACUGUG